rnacentral:rRNA from 1 species
AGCAGCCGCGGUAAUUCCAGCUCCAAUAGCGUAUAUUAAAGUUGUUGCAGUUAAAAAGCUCGUAGUUGAAUUUCGGGAUCAAUAUACCGGUCGUGCCUCAGGUAUGAACUGGUCUUAUUGGUUUCUCCCUUCUGACGAACCAUGAUGUCAUUAAUUUGAUGUCGUGGAGAAUCAGGACUGUUACUUUGAAAAAAUUAGAGUGUUUAAAGCAGGCUAACGCUUGAAUACAUUAGCAUGGAAUAAUGAAAUAGGACGUUCGAUCCUAUUUUGUUGGUUUCUAGGAUCGACGUAAUGAUUAAUAGGGAUAGUUGGGGGCAUUAGUAUUCAAUUGUCAGAGGUGAAAUUCUUGGAUUUAUUGAAGACUAACUACUGCGAAAGCAUUUGCCAAGGAUGUUUUCAUUAAUACAAGAACGAAAGUUAGGGGAGUCGAAGACGAUCAGAUACCGUCGUAGUACUUAACCAUAAACUAUAGCCGACUAGGGAUCGGAUGAUGUUAAUUUUAUAAUGACUC